UACGAAGGGGGGCUAGCGUUGCUCGGAAUGACUGGGCGUAAAGGGCGCGUAGGCGGUUUGUACAGUCAGGUGUGAAAUUCCCGGGCUCAACCUGGGGGGCUGCACUUGAUACGUAUGGACUGGAGUGGGGAAGAGGGUCGUGGAAUUCCCAGUGUAGAGGUGAAAUUCGUAGAUAUUGGGAAGAACACCGGUGGCGAAGGCAGCCCCCCUGGGCCAACACUGACGCUCAGGCACGAAAGCGUGGGGAGCAAACAGG
rnacentral:rRNA from 1 species